AACGAACGCUGGCGGCAUGCCUAACACAUGCAAGUCGAACGAUGCCUUCGGGCAUAGUGGCGCACGGGUGCGUAACGCGUGGGAAUCUGCCUUUCGGUUCGGAAUAACUCAGGGAAACUUGAGCUAAUACCGGAUAACGUCGCAAGACCAAAGAUUUAUCACCGAAAGAUGAGCCCGCGUAGGAUUAGCUAGUUGGUGAGGUAAAGGCUCACCAAGGCGACGAUCCUUAGCUGGUCUGAGAGGAUGAUCAGCCACACUGGGACUGAGACACGGCCCAGACUCCUACGGGAGGCAGCAGUGGGGAAUAUUGGACAAUGGGCGAAAGCCUGAUCCAGCAAUGCCGCGUGAGUGAGGAAGGCCUUAGGGUUGUAAAGCUCUUUUACCCGGGAAGAUAAUGACGGUACCGGGAGAAUAAGCCCCGGCUAACUCCGUG
rnacentral:rRNA from 1 species